CACAAAUAUGAAAGCAGACCCCCAUUGGGGCGUAACGUCACGCCGUGUCCGCAAUAGCGUCAUUGCUGUUGUGCUGACGCGGCGGGGGGUAACGCCCUUUUGGGCCAGUCUGACUCCAUAUUCACCCAUGUCUUUUGCGUACUACUUGUUUCCUUGGCGGGUUCGCCCGCCAAUUGGACCCAAUUAAACCUUUUUUGUAAUUGCAAUCAGCGUCAGCAAAACAAUGUAAUAAAUUA
rnacentral:misc_RNA from 1 species